CGUGUUUGGGAAUGGAGUCAUGCUGACUUAUGAGGAAAACCAACAAACAACAAAGUCCUCUUCCUCUGAGAAUGUUACCUUGCCAGCUGCCACCAAGAUAUGAUGCUGUGUAAAUAUUCAGCAGUCGGACUGGCUGUGACUUUGGGCCUUGUGUUGCUGUUUGCUUUGUAUUUUAAAGUCAAAGGUAAGUGGAGCCGUCAGAAAACAAAGAAGGAGCUCAGGCUUGAUGAACUUUCUUACACUGCGUAAGAGAAACAUCAGUAAGUCUGAGAGUUAAUGUUUCUAUAGAGUAGAAACCCAAUCAAGUUGUCCUUCUCCUCAUUCUAACUUUUUAUUGUUUCUUCACAGAUCACAUUCUCUCCACAAACCUCCCAGACCAGCAGGCACGAGAGAAUGUACGAACUGAAGCUUUAGAUCAGUCAAGAAAAGAAAGAAGAAGAAGAAGCAAACUUUAAAACAGGACAUGCUGACAUCAAUCAAUGUGACACCAUAGCUGGGUGACGAGAAGGACGAGCGAGGAGAUCCACGUUGGCAUUUU